UUGAUGGAUGGUUUCGAAUUCCGUAUGUGCCGCAGUGAGAUCGUCAAUAAGCUGAUUAACAUCCAGUUCUUGAGAGCCUUCGUUAGCCAUAGGAGGUGGGAUUGGAUUGAAAGCACCAAUGUAAAGAAAGAGAGAUCGAGAAUUCCGACGAUAGCCGGAGAGUCGCCAAACAACAAAUUAAAGAAAGAAAGUGAUUACAAUAAAACUUGUUAUCCUUCUACUGAACUUCAUAUAACGUAUUUAUAGGGUUGCCAUGUUCUAGUCUUAGACCUCACAGACGACUAUGGGCCGCUAAUCCAGAUCUAUGUUAUUAGUGGUGAUAUAAUUACUAAAUUACGAGCCAUUAAUUUUCAAUUAUGGAAUUAGUGGAGGUGGAGGGCUUACCAAUAAUAAACGAAAACUAAAAGCGGAAUAUUGGAAAAAUGUGGGGAUCUUUAAGCAAAAUUCAUUCAUGAAGAAAUGUUGUAGAUCUUUGAAUAUAUAAGGGUUAAUCAGAAAUUUCCCAUAGUUAAUGAGGAAUCCUUGGUAGGCUUGAGGUAGUAACAAGGAUCGUAAAUGAAGAAAUAUCCAUGAUUCCGAUAAUAGAUAUUAAAUCUUUCAGCUGUGUUGAUAAAUGGAAAUCCAAAGGUAAUAAAGAAGAGGAAACAACGUCAAGAAGAGACGAAUGUGUGGAAAUAGAGAGAGAGAGAGAGUUCUCCAUAUGAUACCUCGAAGGUAAAAGAAACAAUCCAUGUCAAGGACUCUGAGUUUUGUCACAGAAGCUGUUUGAGCUACUAGGAUUUUAUUUUGCCCUGAUUUUGCUCUAAUAAUGGGUUUCAAUUUUGCCCUAAUUUUGCUCAAAUAUCGGGUUUUGAUUUUGCCCUAAUUUUUCAUUUUGGGUCUAGGUUCCUGUAAAUACGACUUUUAUCGACAUUUUCCCAAAAUCCACACUAUUAUUAUUACUCAUUCUAUUAAUUUGAUCGGACAUUAAGACAGUUUAAGCACUUCAGAUUGUAAUCUAUGAAAGAGAAUUUUUCAUAAGUGGCUAAACUGAAAAAACCAAGCAAAAUUAAAGGAUAAUGAUUGUUGUGUCAAAACUCAAAAGUUAUAAUGUCUGAAUUGAAGACUUGUUUUUUCAAAUUAUCAUGUACCAAACGUGCGAAUAUUUGAUUCUAAAUUUUUUAGUUCUACUGCACAGUUGGAACAAUGGCAUACCGGAAGAGGACUGCUAUAGUAUUUUUUUGGAGAUGGCAUUUUAGCUCAUGUGGUAAAUGUAAUUGUUUUAGAGCUAUUUUUCUUCUGGUAUACGCCGAUCUUAAACUGUGGUGGGAUCUCUGUCGUAGAUGACGUUUUCCGAGGCACAUAAAAGGGGACGUCGUAUUUGAAGUUUAUCUAUUAGUUGGUCACCGAUUAUCUGAAUAAAUAAUAUUCAUUCGAUUGGACUAAAUCCUCACAUGGUAUUAGCAUCACACCUAGAUUUUGUAUCCAUUUUUUAUAUUGCCCAAUUCAUAUUAAGCAUAUGUAGGACAGGAAAGAACACCAUGGUAAUCGAUUUCAAUGUCGUGAUGACACAUACGAUGUUUUUGAAUCAAUCAACAGAGUGUAUAGAAAUAUUGUCACAUUAAAUGCAAUCAUUUGGUAUACUGCAGUAAUUGUUUCUUUGGUGAUCGAGAUAACAAGUUUGAUGAACAGUGAGUUGGAAUUGAAAAGCUGUUUUUUUUAUUUGUUGACAGUUAAAUUUUGGUAGAGGAUUAAGAAUAACCUUCAAUGAUGGUUUAUAGAUUGAUUACUAAAUUAGCAUUAGCAAAUGAUGGGUGUUCCUGAUAACAUGCAGUCAGUAUUGAAAACCUGUUUUUUUCUUUGUUGGUAUUUAAAUUUUGGUAGAGGAUUAAGAAUAACCUUCAAUGAUGGUUUAUAGAUUGAUUACUAAAUUAGCAUUAGCAAAUGAUGGGUGUUCCUGAUAACAUGCAGUCAGUAUUGAAAACCUGUUUUUUUCUUUGUUGGUAUUUAAAUUUUGGUAGAGGAUUAAGAAUAACCUUCAAUGAUGGUUUAUAGAUUGAUUACUAAAUUAGCAUUAGCAAAUUAUGGGUUUUCCAGAUACGAUGGCUGUUGGAAUUGGACAAAUUUUAUCUUUAUUGGCAUUUAAAUCUUGCUAGAGAAUUAAAAAUAACCUCCAUGUUAGAUUUUGCAAUACUUAAUAUGUUAUAAACACUGCUAAUUAGGAUAUUAUUUUAUUCAUUCAUUUAUUUAGCUAAUAGUUUAAUACUUUGUUCAUUUAUUUAUGAUUAUAAAUUCUGAUUUCUGAGAUAGAGAAUUAUCAAUUUUUAUGUUAUGAAAUGAUAGUUUAAAUCAUUUGAUUAAUUUACAUUUUUUGAAAAAAUUCUAUUUCCAUUAGAUUAUAUAGAUAAAUUUAUUACAAGAAAUCUAAGAAAAUGAAUUGCAUCAGUUGUCAAAAAAGGACACGAUUUUGAAGCAAAAGAUUUAAUUUCUGAUCCUGUCUCAAUUUUUUUUGAAAAUUCUAAUCAAAGUUCCAAAAUAAUUUCCCGCCUCCUGCGAAGAAACUCCGCUAACCCCCUAACGCGUUCCUGGCCCGCCACUGUAGCUUAUUAUGAUUCGCCACCAUGUACAAGCUAGGUUCCUCCUUAGAUUAUGAUGAGGAUAACGAUUUCUAUUUUGAACACGGUUCACAUGAUAAACGCUUAUACUGUCUACCACAAACUGCAAGGAAAACAAUGAAAUGAAAAAUAAACAGAGAUUUGAAUUAAUUUUUACCUAUUAACGUUUUGAUUGAUUUCCAGUACAUCAUCCACCAAUCAUGAAAGGCGAGAAAGAUAGAAACCAAAAAAAUAAACUUACAUGACCGUCUAUCAUGUUUCCAAUUAGCGAUGGACGAGGUCGGUGCGGCAUGAUUUGGACAUGAUUCGGAACACGAUUCAAAUUGAUACCAUCCCUAAUAAACUGCAAGAAAAAUAAUGGAAUUGAGAAAUAAACAAAGAUUUGAUUUGAUUUGGACAUAUCGAUCUUUUGAUUGAUAUCUAGUACAUCAUCCAUCAAUCAUCAAAGGUAGAAAGAUAGAGACCAUAAAAAUAAACAUACAUGCCCGUCUAUCAUGUUUGGAAUUGACGAUGGACGAGGUCGGGGCGGCAUGAUUUGGACAUAAUUCGGAUUAACACGGUUCACAUUGAUAUCAUCCAUUAUAAACUGCAGAAAAAUAAUGGAGUUGAGAAAUAAAUAGUGAUUUGAUAUAAUUUGGACAUAAAAAUCUUUUGAUUUAUUUCUACUACAUCAAUCCAUCAAUCAUCAAAGGUAGAAAGAUAGAGACCAAAAAAACAAACUUACAUUCUCGUCUACCAUGUUUGGAACUGGCGAUGGACGAGGUCGGGACGGUAUGAUUUGGUCAUGAUUCGGAACACGAUUCACAUUGAUUCUAUCUGUUAUACACUGCUAGAAAAACAAUGGAGUUGAUAAAUAAACAAAGAUUUGAUUAAUUUUAAAAAAUUUACCUUUUGAUGGAUGGUUUCGAAUUCCGUAUGUGCCGCAGUGAGAUCGUCUAUAAGCUGAUUAACAUCCAGUUCUUGAGAGCCUUCGUUAGCCAUAGGAGGUGGGAUUGGAUUGAAAGCACCAAUGUAAAGAAAGAGAGAUCGAGAAUUCCGACGAUAGCCGGAGAGUCGCCAAACAACAAAUUAAAGAAAGAAAGUGAUUACAAUAAAACUUGUUAUCCUUCUACUGAACUUCAUAUAACGUAUUUAUAGGGUUGCCAUGUUCUAGUCUUAGACCUCACAGACGACUAUGGGCCGCUAAUCCAGAUCUAUGUUAUUAGUGGUGAUAUAAUUACUAAAUUACGAGCCAUUAAUUUUCAAUUAUGGAAUUAGUGGAGGUGGAGGGCUUACCAAUAAUAAACGAAAACUAAAAGAGGAAUAUUGGAAAAAUGUAGGGAUCUUUAAGCAAAAUACAAAAAAACAAGAAAUGUUGUAGAUCUUUGAAUAUAUAAGGGUUAAUCAGAAAUUUCCCAUAGUUAAUGAGGAAUCCUUGGUAGGCUUGAGGUAGUAACAAGGAUCGUAAAUGAAGAAAUAUCCAUGAUUCCGAUAAUAGAUAUUAAUUCUUUCAGCUGUGUUGAUAAAUGGAAAUCCAAAGGUAAUAAAGAAGAGGAAACAACGUCAAGAAGAGACGAAUGUGUGGAAAGAGAGAGAGAGAGAGAGUUCUCCAUAUGAUACCUCGAAGGUAAAAGAAACAAUCCAUGUCAAGGACUCUGAGUUUUGUCACAGAAGCUGUUUGAGCUACUAGGAUUUUAUUUUGCCCUAAUUUUGCUUUAAUAAUGGGUUUCAAUUUUGCCCUAAUUUUGCUCAAAUAUCGGGUUUUGAUUUUGCCAUAAUUUUUCAUUUUGGGUCUAGGUUCCUGUAAAUACGACUUUUAUCGACAUUUUCCCAAAAUCCACACUAUUAUUAUUACUCAUUCUAUUAAUUUGAUCGGACAUUAAGACAGUUUAAGCACUUCAGAUUGUAAUCUAUGAAAGAGAAUUUUUCAUAAGUGGCUAAACUGAAAAAACCAAGCAAAGUUAAAGGAUAAUGAUUGUUGUGUCAAAACUCAAAAGUUAUAAUGUCUGAAUUGAAGACUUGUUUUUUCAAAUUAUCAUGUACCAAACGUGCGAAUGUUUGAUUCUAAAUUUUUUAGUUCUACUGCACAGUUGGAACAAUGGCAUGCCGGAAGAGGACUGCUAUAGUAUUUUUUUGGAGAUGGCAUUUUAGCUCAUGUGGUAAAUGUAAUUGUUUUAGAGCUAUUUUUCUUCUGGUAUACGCCGACCUUAAACUGUGGUGGGAUCUCUGUCGUAGAUGACGUUUUCCGAGGCACAUAAAAGGACACGUCGUAUUUGAAGUUUAUCUAUUAGUUGGUCACCGAUUAUCUGAAUAAAUAAUAUUCAUUCGAUUGGACUAAAUCCUCACAUGGUAUUAGCAUCACACCUAGAUUUUGUAUCCAUUUUUUAUAUUGCCCAAUUCAUAUUAAGCAUAUGUAGGACAGGAAAGAACACCAUGGUAAUCUAUUUUAAUGUCGUGAUGACACAUACGAUGUUUUUGAAUCAAUCAACAGAGUGUAUAGAAAUAUUGUCACAUUAAAUGCAAUCAUUUGGUAUACUGCAGUAAUUGUUUCUUUGGUGAUCGAGAUAACAAGUUUGAUGAACAGUGAGUUGGAAUUGAAAAGCUGUUUUUUUUAUUUGUUGACAGUUAAAUUUUGGUAGAGGAUUAAGAAUAACCUUCAAUGAUGGUUUAUAGAUUGAUUACUAAAUUAGCAUUAGCAAAUGAUGGGUGUUCCUGAUAACAUGCAGUCAGUAUUGAAAACCUGUUUUUUUCUUUGUUGGUAUUUAAAUUUUGGUAGAGGAUUAAGAAUAACCUUCAAUGAUGGUUUAUAGAUUGAUUACUAAAUUAGCAUUAGCAAAUUAUGGGUUUUCCAGAUACGAUGGCUGUUGGAAUUGGACAAAUUUUAUCUUUAUUGGCAUUUAAAUCUUGCUAGAGAAUUAAAAAUAACCUCCAUGUUAGAUUUUGCAAUACUUAAUAUGUUAUAAACACUGCUAAUUAGGAUAUUAUUUUAUUCAUUCAUUUAUUUAGCUAAUAGUUUAAUACUUUGUUCAUUUAUUUAUGAUUAUAAAUUCUGAUUUCUGAGAUAGAGAAUUAUCAAUUUUUAUGUUAUGAAAUGAUAGUUUAAAUCAUUUGAUUAAUUUACAUUUUUUGAAAAAAUUCUAUUUCCAUUAGAUUAUAUAGAUAAAUUUAUUACAAGAAAUCUAAGAAAAUGAAUUGCAUCAGUUGUCAAAAAAGGACACGAUUUUGAAGCAAAAGAUUUAAUUUCUGAUCCUGUCUCAAUUUUUUUUGAAAAUUCUAAUCAAAGUUCCAAAAUAAUUUCCCGCCUCCUGCGAAGAAACUCCGCUAACCCCCUAACGCAUUCCUGGCCCGCCACUGUAGCUUAUUAUGAUGAUCGCCACCAUGUACAAGCUAGGUUCCUCCUUAGAUUAUGAUGAGGAUAACGAUUUCUAUUUUGAACACGGUUCACAUGAUAAACGCUUAUACCGUCUACCACAAACUGCAAGGAAAACAAUGAAAUGAAAAAUAAACAGAGAUUUGAAUUAAUUUUUACCUAUUAACGUUUUGAUUGAUUUCCAGUACAUCAUCCACCAAUCAUGAAAGGCGAGAAAGAUAGAAACCAAAAAAAUAAACUUACAUGACCGUCUAUCAUGUUUCCAAUUAGCGAUGGACGAGUUCGGUGCGGCAUGAUUUGGACAUGAUUCGGAACACGAUUCAAAUUGAUACCAUCCCUAAUAAACUGCAAGAAAAAUAAUGGAAUUGAGAAAUAAACAAAGAUUUGAUUUGAUUUGGACAUAUCGAUCUUUUGAUUGAUAUCUAGUACAUCAUCCAUCAAUCAUCAAAGGUAGAAAGAUAGAGACCAUAAAAAUAAACAUACAUGCCCGUCUAUCAUGUUUGGAAUUGGCGAUGGACGAGGUCGGGGCGGCAUGAUUUGGACAUAAUUCGGAUUAACAUGGUUCACAUUGAUAUCAUCCAUUAUAAACUGCAGAAAAAUAAUGUAGUUGAGAAAUAAAUAGUGAUUUGAUAUAAUUUGGACAUAAAAAUCUUUUGAUUUAUUUCUACUACAUCAAUCCAUCAAUCAUCAAAGGUAGAAAGAUAGAGACCAAAAAAACAAACUUACAUUCUCGUCUACCAUGUUUGGAACUGGCGAUGGACGAGGUCGGGACGGUAUGAUUUGGUCAUGAUUCGGAACACGAUUCACAUUGAUUCCAUCUGUUAUACACUGCUAGAAAAACAAUGGAGUUGAGAAAUAAACAAAGAUUUGAUUAAUUUUAAAAAAUUUACCUUUUGAUGGAUGGUUUCGAAUUCCGUAUGUGCCGCAGUGAGAUCGUCAAUAAGCUGAUUAACAUCCAGUUCUUGAGAGCCUUCGUUAGCCAUAGGAGGUGGGAUUGGAUUGAAAGCACCAAUGUAAAGAAAGAGAGAUCGAGAAUUCCGACGAUAGCCGGAGAGUCGCCAAACAACAAAUUAAAGAAAGAAAGUGAUUACAAU
rnacentral:lncRNA from 1 species